AUACCAAAUUUUUGAUAUAUUUAAACUAUGAGAUAUGGUUAUCUACUGAUAAUUACUAUUAAUAUCUUGAUGGUGGUUAAUCUUUGGAGUAGAGUGGUGGGUGACUUUUUUUAACCUCUAAACAAAACUUUAAUAUAUUUCUAAUUGUGGGGUGCCUGGGUGGUUCAGUCAUUAGGCAUCUGCCAGUACAGUUCAGAUCAUGAUUCUGGGGUCCUGGGAUCGAGCCCUGCAUCAGGCUUCCUGCUCAGGAAGCCUGCUUCUUCCUCUCCCACACCCUCUGCUUGUGUUCCCUCUCUCGCUGUGUCGCUCUCUGUCAAAUAAAUAAAUCUUUAAAAAAAAUACAUUUCUAAUUAUGUCCUGACAAGAGAUUUCUUUUAAUAUGUUCUUAACUUUUAGACAUUUUCCGAAAUUUUCACAGUAUAUAUUGUUUUUAUUUUUGGAAGAUAUAGCAAAAAGUAUUUCUGUAUUAUUUUGUAACAACAGAUAGAAAUAAAAAAUUUAAUCCCAAAUAACCUAACAGAAUACCCACAAUUCGAUCAUAAGCAAUGUCAUUGGAGGUUGUUUUUCAUUUAAAAUGCAAAAGAUGUACUGAGUGCCCAUAUCUUUCUAAAUAUGAUUUUUUUUUUCAAGUAAGCUCUAUGCCCAACAUGGGGCUUGAACGCACAAUCCCAAAAUCAAGAGUUGUGUUUUGUAUUGACUGAGCCAGUCAAGUGCCCCCAGUUUCAUCUUUAAAAAGAAUCAGGGUUCCUUGGAGAAAUGACUGAGGAAAGCACAAGAUGAACCAGGAACAUGGGAACAUUUUGAUAUAACAGCAAGUAUGGAAAUGAAAAACAAACAAAAAAGAGAGAUGGGAACAUGUUGAAAGAACAUAGAACUAGUUUCAAGGGCAGCCCAGUGGCUAAGUCUGGGACAAUUUUUGAGCUAAAGAUAAACCAGGACAGUAAAGGAUUAUAACUCACUGAAUAAAAUAGGAAUCCGCCAAUUCAUGCUGAUAUGAUAUGAUAUGAUAUGAUAGAUAACCGAAUAAUUGGGGCUGAGGCAGGGAGGGUCCUUCCUUACAGUGAAAAGUUGAUAAAUGCGGAGGGAGGGGCACUGUUGAAAGAUCCUGUUUUGCAAGCAUCAUAGUUAAGAAUGGUUUGGGCAAGAAAUAGCAAUGAUUGGGCGCCUGGGUGGCUCAGUCGGUUAAAGCCUCUGCCUUCGGCUCAGGUCAUGAUCUCAGGGUCCUGGGAUCGAGCCCCAUAUCGGGCUCUCUGCUCAGUGGGGAACCUGCUUCCUCCUCUCUCUCUGUCUGCCUCUUUGCCUACUUGUGAUCUCUCUCUCUCUCUGUCAAAUAAAUAAAUAAAAUCUUAAAAAAAAAAGAAAAGAAAAGAAAUAGCAAUGAUUGCUAAAUCUAGGGGGGAAAUGUUUGAUGGAGAAGAGGAUACUUACUUAGUUCUAAACUAUGUCUCCAUAAAUUGCUCAUUAGCUGCAAGGGAAAAACAGUAACUAUACAGUGGAGAAACUGGACCACUUUAACCAACAGACCUCUGGAACCAAUAAUACAUUAUAUGUUGAUUAAUUGAAUUUGAAUUAAAAAAAUGGAAAAAAAAUAAAAAAUUUAAAAAACAAAAACAAAAAUAAAAAAACCUAACAAACAGGGUGCAGACUGAGAUGGUAUGUUUCCAGAUCUGAUACUCAGAGAAGAACAAAUCAUCACCUUUGUGCCCUUCUGGCAGGAGACAGAAUCAAGGCCUGAAUCAAGUCAUCAGGGGCCACCAGGCAAGUCCAUCUGAAGAACAUUCCACAAAACAACUGGCUCAUGUUCUUUAAAUGCACCAAUGUCAUGAAAGACAAAAAAUGCUACAGGACUGUUCCAGAUUAAAGAACAUUAAAGAAACAAGACGAUUUAACACAUAUGUGAUCUUUUGGUUAAAGCUGGUACCAGAGGGGGACAAUGCUAUAAGGAAUUUAUUGGUAUAACUGACAAAAUUGGAAUAUGGAUUGCCGAAUGGAAAAAAGUAUGCAUCAAGGUUACAUUUCUUGAUUUGAAACUGUGUUGUGGUUAUGUAGGAAAAUAUACUUGUUCUUAGGAACAAUACUAUGGGUCUUAAGAGUAUAACAAAGGCCUGAGCUACAUAAACUCAGAUGGUUCUGAGAAAAUACAUCAUUACCAAGGGAGAAAAGGAAAAUAAAUGUGAUGAAAUAAAAAACAAAUGAUUAUUCUGGAUACAGGCAGUAUGAAAGUUCCUUGUAAUUUUGGCAACUUAAAAAAAAAAGAUUUUAUUUAUUUAUUUGUCAGAGAGAGAGAGAGAGACAGAGCACAACCAGGGGGAUUGGCAGGCUCCCUGCUGAGCAAGGAGUAGGAUGUAGGACUUAAUCCCAGGAUCCUGGGAUCAUGACCUGAGCCAAAGGCAGAUGCUUAACCCAUUGAGCCACCCAAGUAAUCCUACAACUUUUCUUUACAUUUGGAUUUUUUUUUAAAGUUUAAUAAUAAUAAUGCACAUAGUCGUCGUUGUGGGCUUGGUUUGAAUUAUUUUAUCCCAAACACACACACACACUCACACACUUAACUGAGAUACAUGGAAGUAGUUUAUCUGGGGUAGGAGAGUAACAAGAGGGCUAAUUUGGGAGGGUAUGGGCAUGUCCCUCUAGAAACUGCCCAGGAGAAGAUGGGUGCAUGAGGGAUAUGGGAUUCACGGGGUCGAAAUGAGACUUGGAGGUACAUGGGCAGCUCUGGAAAUAACGUGUCCUUUGCUAGUGCAUUAUUUAAAGCAUCCAGUGGGAGAUUUGUUGCAUUUGCGGUAGCUGUAGGGGCUGAAUAUUACCUGAAAGAAAGAUAAGGAUCAUCACUGAAGAUAAAAUCUAGAAGUAUCUUAGAGGCUUCCUAACUCUUUUAUCAAAAUAAGAUUUCUUCUGGGACACCUGGGUGGCUCAGUUGGUUAGGCAUCUGCCUUGUCUUGGGUUGUGAUCCUAGGAUCAUGGGAUCGAGUCCCACCAGGCUCCCUGCCCCACGGGGGCGCGGGAGGGCUGCUUCUUCAUCUCUUUCCUGCUUGUGCUCUCUCUCACCAACUCCAUCUGUCUCUCUCUCUCAAAUAAAUAAAAUUUUUAAAAAAUAAUAAGGUUUCUUCACAGUAAAAUAACAACAACAAACCCACAAAGUGCAAGAUGGUGUAGCCUCCUUGUUUAUAUCACAUCAUUGUUAGUCUCCUUUCCUUUCCUCCUGUGGAAACAUGAAACACUACGGCCAGUCCCCACGCAGAUACUUGGGCUCUUUUGUUUCAGCCACUAAACCCCAUCAGCCAGCACACUGGUUAUCAUCAUUCAUCUCUUCUUAAUCUUAAUUCCAAACCGAGCUCCUGUUUGGAGAUUCGAGUUUUAGUUUGUAUUUCAAUAGCUCAUAUAGGCUUAUUUUUCUAUCGUGAACAAACUAAAAAAACUUCUAUAUUUUUUAAACUAGACAGUUUGAACACUGCCCGUCAAUAAACAAGUCAAAAGACCACCAUGGAAGAGCAAACUUGCUCAAAUGAACAAGGCGGGGAUGCCUGUGGUAACAGGAAUAAACCUGUCAUAGCUCGCUGGAGUUAUGGUUACAGACGGAAACACAUUUUAGAAUGGGCCUGCUUCAGUUUCUCCUCUGGACCCAUGGUGGCUUCUGUGGUGUCCUGGGUUUUCCCCCACUCAUCUUGGGACGGCUUCUGUAAGUCAUGGAAGAUGAUGUAGCUGCUGCACUGGUUUUGCCUCUUUGCAACAUACUCAGCACACACAUGCUUCUCAGCCAAACUGUGAGGGAAGCGGUGUACUUCCUCCAGGGCCACAGCCUCACGGUGGAAAUGGAAGCCCAAAGGGAGUUCUCAUGAAUUGAUGGUUCGUCUCUGCUCCCCCAGUCAUCAGCUGUAACAACUCAGUUGGAAUGAUGAAGGAUUCACUUUCAAGAUGGCUCACUCAAAUGGCUGGCAUAUCGGAGCUUACUUAACUGGGACCUCAGCCAGGGUUGUGGACCAGAGGCCUUGGUUCCUUUCUAUACACCAAGCGAAGAGGACUCGGCCAGCCCGUGGGAGACAUGUGGACUGGCCCACAGCCAGCACCAGUUCUCACAUAUGUGAGUGGGGCCGCGCUGAAUCAUGCUGAAUCACCGAACGAGUUCCAGGCCAGCUCCAAUUUAACUACAGACGUGUAAGUAACUGCAUGGGAGAUAAGCCAAACAGCCUCACUAAGCCCAAUUCAAAUAGCAGAAGCACAGAAUAAUGAGCAAAUAGUUGCUGUGUGUUCUUUUUUAAUUUUUAUUAUUAUUUUUUUAUUUUAAGUAGGCUGCACACCCAAUGUGGGGCUUGAACUCAUGAUCCUGAGGUCAGGAGUUGCACGCUCUUCUGACUGAGCCAGCCAGGCACCCCCACAUGGUUGCCGUUUCAAGCCACUGUUUUGAGGCUUUGGUUUGUUACACAGCAAUAAAUAACUCAUACACACGUUUUUCUGGGGAGUUAUGAAUAAAGAAAUACGAUAAUACAAAAUACUGAAGGACAGUUUCUUUCAUUAAUCUGUUCAUUCCCAUCCUGUCUAUGAUCUGCAGGAAGGAUUUGAUACUGCCCGUGGUGGGCGGACCCGGUGAUCCCUGCCUUCUGUAUUUAUGUCUUCUAUAAUCUUCACUGGGGGCUAACACUAAUGACUGUUUCUAGUAGAAACAUCCCUGGUGAUGGGAUGUCACUCACAUGAUUAUUUUAUCGUCUGUAAAAGUCCAUUAUUCUAGUAGAUUCGCACUAGGGAUUCUCCUGGUUGGCUUGAGGAGGUAAGCAGCCCUGUCAAAGAAGGUCACUGACAAGCAACAGCAUGGGCCCUUUAGGAAAUGUUUAGACAACAGCCAACAAGAAACAGAAGCCCUUGAGGCACCUGGGAGACUUGGUCAGUUGAGGUCUAACUCUAACUCUCGGUUUCAGCUCUGGUCAUGAUCUCAGAGUUGUGGGAUUGAGCCCUGAGUGCGGCUUGAGAUUCUGUAUCUCUUCCCCCAGCUCAUGCAUGUAUGUUCUCUCUCUCUCAAGUAAAUAAGCAAAUAAAAUCUUAUUAAAAAGAAAGAGAGAGAGAAAGGAAGGAAGGAAGGAAGGAAGGAACAGAAACCUUCAGUUCUACAACUACAGGAAGUGAAUUCUGCUGAUAAUCCGAGCCAGCUUGGAAGGCGAUUUUCUCCCAACUGAGCCUCCAGAUGAGAAUGCAGCUCAGCGGGCACCUCGAUAUCCUCGUGUGGGUCCCAGAGCUGAGGACCCAGGUAAGCUGGGCCUGACGCCUGGCUCAUGGAAACUGUGGGAUAAUCAGUCCAUAGCACAAAAAACUAAUACAGAUACUCAGAUACUCAGAGAGCGUCAGCACGCAAUCCUUUAAUGGGAAAGCAACCUAUGUUCCUAGAAGUCUAAAACUCUGGUUUGUUAAGAGGAAGACAUUUUACAGCUUUAGAAGGUCAAUUCUUUCUUAUCACACCCUGAUUUUUUAAAAUCCUGGACAAGACAGGGUCGCCUGGUUGGCUCAGUUGGUUAAGCAUUUGCCUUUGGCUCAUGUCAUGAUCCACCGCCAGUCCUGGGAUCCAGCCCACUUGGAGAUCUCCGCUCAGUGGGGAGUCUGCUUCUCUCCCCACCUCUGCCCCCAUGAGAUCAAGCAUGCAUGCUCCCUCUCAAAUAAAUAAAUAAUCUUAAAAAAAAAGAAAUCCUGGGACACCUGGGUGGCUCAGUGGGUUAAGCCUCUGCCUUCAUCUCAGGUCAUGAUCUCAGGGUCCUGGGAUCG